rnacentral:rRNA from 1 species
CCACGCCCUAAACGAUGAACACUAGUCGUCGGGAUGCUAGUCAUCUCGGUGAUGCACUUAACAGAUUAAGUGUUCCGCCUGGGGAGUACGGUCGCAAGAUUAAAACUCAAAGGAAUAGACGGGGACCCGCACAAGUGGUGGAGCAUGUGGUUUAAUUCGAAAAUACGCGAAGAACCUUACCUAGCCUUGACAUCGAAGGGCACCACUCUAUCUCUAGUGUGUUUCUUCAAUGU